rnacentral:lncRNA from 1 species
CUGCUGCUUCCGCAGGCAGACAUCAGCAGUGAAAGUGACACAGAUGUAUCGCAACAUAACUUCUCUGUUCACAUCUCAAAUGAUGAAAUUUCCAGCCCAAACCAUGACAUGGAGGUCGUUGCUUAUAUCGCUGGAUAUUGUGCUCAUUCAGCUCUGGAGAAGCUGUCGUGCGCAUUUUUCAGCAGCGUACUCGUUCGGGAGAGCAAGAACGUAGAUGUGGAAGCUAACGUAAUGAUUGACAACUUGUCAAGAGGGAGCUUAAUGUUUCCGCAGCCAUGUAUUGUGCACAUGGUGCUGGUGACAACGCUUGUUGUCGAAAACCUCACCAAGGGAGCAAAUGCAAAGGCCUUCCUCGCGUCGAACAACCAACGUGGCAUUGCCAGCUCUAUUACCACAUCGCUGCUCUUAGAUGUUGAGCUAGAGACUUGCGAAAAUGGCCAUACCUCUGAGACUAUCGUGCGGCAUGUAGUGCUUGUUGCAACAAAUGUCGCCUUGAACAACUUUUGUAGACUUCGAAAUGACACCAUCAAAGGCACCGCACAAAAAAGGCUGCUGACAGAAA